GGGGCUAUAGCUCAGGCGGUCAGAGCGCUUCACUGAUAAUGAAGAGGUCCCAGGUUCAAGUCCUGGUAGCCCCACCA
rnacentral:tRNA from 1 species